ensembl:lncRNA
CUGGAACCCACUGUGUGAACACGCGUAGCAUUAAGGCCGACCGCUGAAAUAAUGUUUUUGUUUGUUUGUCUAAAGGUUAUCUCCGCUACCUUUCGUACGCGCGACUUCCAUUUCCUCGUUCCUCCUUCUGUUUAUUCAACACAUAUGUCAUAGAUCUCUGCUAUGGAUGUUUACGUAGCCUGCCCAACCACAAGCCGGCAAAUCUUUCCUCGGACCCCAGUGCAUCUUGGGGAAACCGAUCAUGGAAAUGGAUGGAGGGCCCUGAGGAAAUUUCAUAUCUGAUGUGCCAUUCAUCAGUCCAGUGCAGAAGUCAUAAAUUAUGCUUCCUAUUACCGGAUCGGUGUAUCCCAGUUACAAUCCCCCCUUUUUUUCCUCCCUUCUCUCUGUUCCUGCUAUCAAGUUUAUCAGUAAAAAAACUUGAAACUGUGCAAA